rnacentral:lncRNA from 1 species
CGUGAAUGUCGCCGUGUACCGGAUCGAAUUUCUAUUGUUCUCGCAUGAUUUCGAGGACUGAACGUUCACCGCACGUAAACGUUUGACUUACCUCGUACUUUGAAUCUCUAGCAACGGGCGGCAUGCGUCUCGUUGACACUUGGGCGUCUGCCUAUUCAGCGCGUAAGCACCAACCUACAUCAGUUGGCUGACUCCAACUGCAACCCCCAGAAGCAAUAUUCAGACGCAGAUUUAACGCCAUGCAUGACGUUUGCUACCAAAGGGACGGCGCACGUCCCGAUAGCUGUUGAUACUGUUUAUUGACACCCUGACAAUCGCUGCACGUGAAUUUUGGUGUUUUGUUUUUUAGUUACACUUUUCGUACUCGGAAGACUAACGGGCUUCACGAUAGUGGUUCUAUCUACUUCAAAAGGAACACGUCCACGGUUAUGUUCUUUGACUCUUUGCGUUCCUCAGUACUGACCGCUUGCCCGAAUGAGCACGGUUCCAGGCUCCUUUCCGCCUGAGCACUAUCUCCAUGAAAAGCUUUCGCCGGUCUCUUGUGGCCAGUGUAAGCCAGAGCUGUGGACGAGAACCAAGGUUGUGUCGUGCGACACGCAACUCGGCUAACUGGUUUUCAGAGAAAGCGGCAUGUGCCGCUCAUUUUAUAAUGCGCAACAGGGAGUGGUUCGAGCAACCCUGCAGGUAUUGAGACCUUGCGUUAGUUCGUGGGAAAACGGCUUCCGAACCGCUGCUAUAGAUUGAUGCAAAGAAAAAGACGUGCGGUUCAGGACAGCGUACUUCGGUUCGCUCAUCGCGUUCACUUGUAGGGAGAUCACAGCAACCUCAGUAUACCCUGUCGGAACGUUUCGUACGUGGAGGCAGCGAGCUGUGGAAGGGCUUGUGUGUCAAACAUUGCACUGUCGCUGACCCAAUGCCACUUAAUUUGCUUAGGA